GUGAACGCUGGCGGUAGGCCUAACACAUGCCAGUCGAACGGCAGCACAGUAAGAGCUUGCUCUUACGGGUGGCGAGUGGCGGACGGGUGAGGAAUACAUCGGAAUCUACUUUUUCGUGGGGGAUAACGUAGGGAAACUUACGCUAAUACCGCAUACGACCUACGGGUGAAAGCCGGGGAUCUUCGGACCUUGCGCGAUUGAAUGAGCCGAUGUCGGAUUAGCUAGUUGGCGGGGUAAAGGCCCACCAAGGCGACGAUCCGUAGCUGGUCUGAGAGGAUGAUCAGCCACACUGGAACUGAGACACGGUCCAGACUCCUACGGGAGGCAGCAGUGGGGAAUAUUGGACAAUGGGCGCAAGCCUGAUCCAGCCAUACCGCGUGGGUGAAGAAGGCCUUCGGGUUGUAAAGCCCUUUUGUUGGGAAAGAAAAGCAGCAGGUUAAUACCCCGCUGUUCUGACGGUACCCAAAGAAUAAGCACCGGCUAACUUCGUG
rnacentral:rRNA from 1 species